UCACAUUGUACCUGUAUAAUCCAGGUCGUUCACGGACAAAUGCAUUUAAAAUGUUCAAGUAACUAGAGUUAUAUUUAUCGUACAUAAACAUAAAUGUUAUUUGACAAAAGAGAGUUUACACAACACACUCUGAAGGCAAUUGAAAAAGUGGAAAAGUUACAUCAACGAAUCUAGGUCAAAACUGACUUCGGACAAUAGACAUUGCAGUCAACAACAUGCUCUCCAGAAGUGUAGAGCAAUCUAUAGAAGGAAAAGAACAGAAUGACAGAUUCGGAAACAAAGUCAGAGGAAUCAUAGGGAGGAAAGAGCGUCGUUCCUUUGAUCCAUUUCGACUUAUGAUUGAAUUCAAAGCCACAGCGCCUGCUGGGUUUCCUGAUCGCCCAAAAAGAGGAGUUGAAACAGUAACUUAUGUUUUAGAUGGAAAAUUGAGACACGAAGAUUGCUCGAAGCAAGGGACAACAAUAGUACAUCCUGGUGAUGUCCAGUACAUGUUAGCAGGAAAAGGCAUUAAACAUUGUGACGUGCCAGACGACCAAAAUGAAGUUCAUGGACUACAGUUGUGGGUAGACCUACCUGGUAAAAUGAUGAUCGAACCUAAUCAUGAUGUCAUGAAAAACAGACCUUUUCUGUCGAAUGAAAAACCUGAUGGUGUGCAAGUGAAGAUCAUUGCUGGAAAAUCAUUGGGACAUGAGCAAUUCAUAAUAAUGCGUGCAGAGCUCAAUGCAUGAUCGGUGGUGCCAAAUACUGUAUGCGUCACAAAAGACUCCCUCACAUCACCAAGUCACUUGCCUGUCGCAAAGACCACAAGGGUUCACGGUUGUAUUUCUCUGAUGAGGACCAUGGUUGAGUUGAAUAUCACUUGCUAUCACCAAUGGCCACGCAUUUCACCGACACGCCUAUAAUGUUCUUGGACUUCAAGCUAGACAAACAAGCUGUACUUAACCAAACUAUACCAGAAGGAUGGAAUGCAUUCAUAUAUAUUUUAUCAGGACAGGCAACUUUUGGUGAUGGUGAAGCUGCAAAACAAUACGGUGCUCAUUGCACACUUAUUUUAGAUCAAAUUGGACAAAGAAUUGCAGUAGAUAAUACGAGCCAGCAGGAGUGCCGCUUUUUGUUGAUAGGUGGUAAACCUCAUGGGAAAACGAUUAAACAGUUUGGCCCUUUUGUAAUAAAUGAUGAAGAAGAAAUGAAUGGAAGAGGUUAUAUCAGAUUAUAAAGCAGGAAGGAACGGUUUUGAAAAGACAUUCGAAUGGGACUCUGAAUAUGUAAUUAAUCGAUAAUCAAACAAUUACAAUGUAUUAUUUUAUAUAUGUUUAAUUUGAGCAAAAUAGUACUUUUUGUGGGGUUUUUUAAUAACACAUUUUGGAUUUGAGCCCUUUCUGUCAAUUUUGACUGAUACUUUUUUUGCAAUGAAGAACCAACUAGGAGAUAUUCUAGCUUUUA